UACGUAGGGUGCGAGCGUUAAUCGGAAUUACUGGGCGUAAAGCGUGCGCAGGCGGUUAUUUAAGUCAGGUGUGAAAGCCCUGGGCUUAACCUAGGAAUUGCGCUUGAGACUGGAUAGCUUGGAGUGCGGCAGAGGGAGGUGGAAUUCCACGUGUAGCAGUGAGAUGCGUAGAGAUGUGGAGGAACACCGAUGGCGAAGGCAGCCUCCUGGGCCAGCACUGACGCUCAUGCACGAAAGCGUGGGGAGCAAACAGG
rnacentral:rRNA from 1 species